rnacentral:lncRNA from 1 species
CAAAGUGCUAGGAUUGCAGGCAUGAGCCACUGUGCCCAGUCAAGAAACACCUUAAUUAUACUUAACUAUAAUUCUGUUUAUAUGAAUGUCUUAUCUAUACUUCUGUUUAUAUGUUUAUACUCUUUUUUUCUCCCAGAGGUUAAAUGUUUAAAGUUCCUCAUGAUGCCUCGACUAAAGAUGCUUCUACGUGAAAGUGUUGUUUCAAUCUGUAAUUUCACAAUAUUUUAUUUUGGAAGCUGGUGGCAACAAGCUGGCAGGAAACAUGGACCUUAGGAAAAGCAAACACAUUCUAUUUGCUAAUGGUCACUAAGCGAUUGUAACCAAGGCAAGCUUAUUACAGAAAGGAACAAUCAGCUGAAGUGUAAAGACAGAGCGUUUGAAAAAUCCUAACCCUUCUUCCCUGCAUGCUAAAAUCAGCUAACAGAGAUAAACUAGUAGCUGGUUCUUAAAAGAGGGAUUUGUUUACACUACGUAAUUUUUAUCAGUGGGACAACCUGUUUGCCUGCCUGAGAUCUUAUUACUUAUUAAUGCAUAUUACCUGUGAAUAAGAAAAAGGUGCUUGCAUUUCAGAAGUUUGUGUGAAUCACGUGUCCUCCUCAUUUCCUACCAGAGUUCAGAUUAAAAAAAUGAAUGAUGCUUCUAUGAACAUUCUUAUAUGUGCAUCUGGUGCUGUUUUUAUUGCUGUUUUUAUUGUUUUAUUUAUUGAGCACUUAUUUUGUGUCAGGCACGGUUUUAAGUGCUUCAAAUAUAUUGAUUCAUUUAAAUCUGCUGCCCUCUGAGAUACAGAGGACCAACUAUACUUGUCGGACUCUGAAACUUCAACUUCUCAGCUCCACUUGAACCUCAGGCACAGAGAUGGAAUCUGAAGCGGACCAAAGGGUGGCUUCUUGGAGAUGGUGAGGCGUGGCCACAGGAGGAACAGGAUGCAUGACAGCUGCCUCCCACACAGAUAUACCGCAUCUAAGAAGAUGUCGCCACCCCCAUGAGAAAUAUCUACUGUAUGCUCAUGUUUGAAUGUGUGUAUAUAUAUAGGUUCAAUAUAUACAUAAGUUGCAAAGAACUGAAGCAGCAAAAUUAGAGAAUGCUCAAUAUUUCUGACAUGCUUGGAAUAACAAGAGAUGUAAAAGCAACUCAGAAUUAGAUUCCCCUUUUACGAAGCCAGAUAAUGUGGCUGAAUCACUGAAGGAUUUCAAUCUGAGGGCACAAAGUAGGAAGCAAAUUACUAUUUACUCUCUGGUAAGAAAAACAGAGUUAGACAAGGUCUGCCUUUGAAUCACAAUAGUUGUAUGUCUAAAUGGCGUUUCUUUCUGGCAGUUAGUAAUGGGACCUGGCAGUUAAUGAUGAUGAUGACAAACACUUAGGGAGCACUCACUAUGUGCCCAGCACAGGUCUAAGUACCUUCUAUAGUCCAACUCUUUUAAUCCUCAAAACAGCCCUAAGGCAGCUCUUAUUUCUAUUGCACAGAUGAGGACACUGAAGGACAUAUUAGGUACUUAGAGAAUAUUUUGUGAAUGGAAUUAAUA